rnacentral:rRNA from 1 species
GUCCGCACUGUAAACGAUGAUUACUCGCUGCUGGAUGGUAACAUUCAGUGGCUUAGCGAAAGCGAUAAGUAAUCCACCUGGGGAGUACGCCGGCAACGGUGAAACUCAAAGGAAUUGACGGGGGCCCGCACAAGCGGAGGAGCAUGUGGUUUAAUUCGAUGAUACGCGAGGAACCUUACCAGGGCUUGAAAGUUAGUGACCGAUCCUGAAAGGGGUCUUUCAGCAAUGACACAAAACUAGGUGCUGCAUGGCUGUCGU